rnacentral:rRNA from 1 species
UACGUAGGUGGCAAGCGUUGUCCGGAUUUAUUGGGUUAAAGGGUGCGUAGGCGGUUUUUUAAGUCAGUGCUGAAAUACUCCAGCUUAACUGGAGGGGUGGCAUUGAUACUGGAAGACUUUGGAGUACAGGAUGAGGUAGGCGGGAAUUGACGGUGUAGCGGUGAAAUGCUUAGAUAUCGUCAAGAACACCGAUAGUGAAGACAGCUUACCAAGCUUCAACUGACGCUGAGGCACGAAAGUGUGGGGAUCAAACAGG